rnacentral:rRNA from 1 species
GAGUUUGAUCGUGGCUCAGAUUGAACGCUGGCGGCAGGCCUAACACAUGCAAGUCGAGCGGAUGAAGGGAGCUUGCUCCUGGAUUCAGCGGCGGACGGGUGAGUAAUGCCUAGGAAUCUGCCUGGUAGUGGGGAUAACGUCCGGAAACGGGCGCUAAUACCGCAUACGUCCUGAGGGAGAAAGUGGGGGAGUCUUCGGACCUCACGCUAUCAGAUGAGCCUAGGUCGGAUUAGCUAGUUGGUGGGGUAAAGGCCUACCAAGGCGACGAUCCGUAACUGGUCUGAGAGGAUGAUCAGUCACACUGGAACUGAGACACGGUCCAGACUCCUACGGGAGGCAGCAGUGGGGAAUAUUGGACCAAUGGGCGGAAAGCCUGA